rnacentral:rRNA from 1 species
UACGAAGGGGGCUAGCGUUGCUCGGAAUCACUGGGCGUAAAGCGCACGUAGGCGGAUUGUUAAGUCAGGGGUGAAAUCCUGGAGCUCAACUCCAGAACUGCCUUUGAUACUGAAGAUCUCGAGUCCGGGAGAGGUGAGUGGAACUGCGAGUGUAGAGGUGAAAUUCGUAGAUAUUCGGCGGAACACCAGUGGCGAAGGCGACUCACUGGCCCGAUACUGACGCUGAGGCGCGAAAGCGUGGGGAGCAAACAGGG